GUGUGUCUGGAGCAUUGUAGGAUUGCAGGAAAAGGCUUCCCUGGCACAUGGUGGGGGCUGGGAUGCAGCUGAGAGCAAUAAUGAAAGAAGAUAUUUUUGCAGUGAACUCAAGCCAGCAAUAUGCAAAAGCCUGAAUGACCUGACAGUGCUUCAUGAUUUCUGGAAAAUGAGUGGGAAAUACUGAACACAGUGCCAGCUCUAAGAACAGAAGUUCAGCAAUUAGAGGAAAAGAUCAGUGGUUUUUAUAGCAGGCUACAAUACAAGCUGGAAGGACUGGA
rnacentral:lncRNA from 1 species